GCAGCGGAAGCCUAAUGGUCAAGGUAACGGACUCGUGGUCGGUAUGUCACAAGUUCGAGCCUAGUACCGCUGCA